rnacentral:rRNA from 1 species
UGACAGGUGGUGCAUGGUUGUCGUCAGCUCGUGUCGUGAGAUGUUGGGUUAAGUCCCGCAACGAGCGCAACCCUCGACCUUAGUUGCCAGCAUUCAGUUGGGCACUCUAAGGUGACUGCCGGCUAAAAGUCGGAGGAAGGUGGGGAUGACGUCAAAUCAUCAUGCCCCUUAUGACCUGGGCUACACACGUGCUACAAUGGGCGGUACAAAGGGUCGCGAACCCGCAAGGGGGAGCCAAUCCCAAAAAGCCGCUCUCAGUUCGGAUUGCAGGCUGCAACUCGCCUGCAUGAAGCCGGAAUCGCUAGUAAUCGCGGAUCAGCACGCCGCGGUGAAUACGUUCCCGGGCCUU